GCCGGCGAAUCAGCUGGAGAUCCGGCGGGAGUGUCGGUUGGUGGAGCUGGGGGUGAAGCGGCUAAUGGCGAUGGUGCUUCGGAUAAUGGAGAAGGUGUCGGUGAAGGUGAAGAAACUGGUUCAGGAGCAGGUGCUGGCGACGGUGACUUUCCGAACAACUCAGAGGGUAACAAAAUAUUGUCGACGGUGAAUAUCACGACCGGUGGGGAGUCAAAAACUGCUUCAGCGACUCUAGAUGGACUGAUUCCAGUAUGAAGCGUGACGGAAUCACCGGCGGCGGUGACCGUCAAAUCGAACUUCCCGGCACCUCUAGUAGCCAAUGUAGUAAUCGGAUCUUUCGUCGUCUUUAAAGUCCCCUUUGGUUUAUAAUCCGGCGAGGCAUGGUAUUCUAACAGCGAAACUUGAUCGGCAUUGGUCAACUUACUCAGAUCAGGUACACCGUCGGCUUUAAAAGCUUCAUCGGACGGCGCAAAAAUAGUCAACCCUUUAUCAAGCGCCGCUUCAUAAGUCUUCAACACACCACUACUGGUAAGCAAAUUAGCAAACGUCUUACAACCAGCUUUCUCAAGUAAGCCGGUAAUGUUAACACCGGAAGCCGACGGUGCAGGAGCUGAUAAAACACCGGGAGCAAUAAUCGGCGCACUGAUCUCCAGUAUAGAAAUAUUAUACGGUACCUGUUUAACAGACUUAGUAUAAGACGAAUCAAGUUUAGACCCAGGAACGGCUGACCCAAACCCGACUUUCCCACCUUGU
rnacentral:lncRNA from 1 species